UGGAGGUUGAGAAGUCCUGCAAUCUAUUAUCUGCAAGCUGGAGGCCCAGGAGAGCUGGUGGUAUAAUUCAGUCCAACCCUGAAGACCUGAGAACCAGGGGAGCCAAUGGUGAAGUCUUGGUCCAAGUUCCAAGGCCUGAGAACCAGAAAUGCCAAUGUCCAAAAGCAAGAGUGGAUGAAUGUCCCAGCUCAAAUACAGAACACCAGUGUUCCCUUCCUCUGCCUUUUUGUUUUAUUGGGCACUCAGUGGACCGGAUGAUGCCCAUCCACACUGCAACCCAACAUAGAGGAAAAGCUGAACACCACCAACAUUUUCAG
rnacentral:lncRNA from 10 species